UACAGAGACCCCCGAGCAUUUAUCCCGGGAUUUAUUGGGCGUAAAGAGUUCGUAGGCGGCUUUGUAAGUCAUCUGUUAAAAUCUUCAGGCUUAACCUGGAGGCUGCGGGUGAUACUGUAAGGCUUGAGUGUGGGGAGAGGCAAAUGGAAUGCCCGGUGUAGCGGUAAAAAUGCGUUAAUAUCGGGGUAGAACACCAAAGGCGAAAGCAAUUUGCUGGAACACAACUGACGCUAAAGAACGAAAGCGUGGGUAGCGAAAAGGG
rnacentral:rRNA from 1 species